AAAAAGGGUCAGUUGGCUAAUUAUGCCACGCUCACCCUUUGCUGGUGAGUGCUGUAUGGCUAUCAAGACAUAUGGCUGACAUAAUUUUUGUGAACUUAUAGGGUUGGCUCGUUUAGCCGACCCUUCA
rfam:Cicer arietinum chromosome Ca4, whole genome shotgun sequence.